rnacentral:rRNA from 1 species
AGAGUUUGAUCAUGGCUCAGAUUGAACGCUGGCGGCAGGCUUAACACAUGCAAGUCGAGCGGAGAUGAGGUGCUUGCACCUUAUCUUAGCGGCGGACGGGUGAGUAAUGCUUAGGAAUCUGCCUAUUAGUGGGGGACAACAUUCCGAAAGGAAUGCUAAUACCGCAUACGUCCUACGGGAGAAAGCAGGGGAUCUUCGGACCUUGCGCUAAUAGAUGAGCCUAAGUCGGAUUAGCUAGUUGGUGGGGUAAAGGCCUACCAAGACGACGAUCUGUAGCGGGUCUGAGAGGAUGAUCCGCCACACUGGGACUGAGACACGGCCCAGACUCCUACGGGAGGCAGCAGUGGGGAAUAUUGGACAAUGGGGGGAACCCUGAUCCAGCCAUGGCCGCGUGUGUGAAGAAGGCCUUAUGGUUGUAAAGCACUUUAAGCGAGGAGGAGGCUACUGAGACUAAUACUCUUGGAUAGUGGACGUUACUCGCAGAAUAAGCACCGGCUAACUCUGUGCCAGCAGCCGCGGUAAUACAGAGGGUGCGAGCGUUAAUCGGAUUUACUGGGCGUAAAGCGUGCGUAGGCGGCUUUUUAAGUCGGAUGUGAAAUCCCCGAGCUUAACUUGGGAAUUGCAUUCGAUACUGGGAAGCUAGAGUAUGGGAGAGGAUGGUAGAAUUCCAGGUGUAGCGGUGAAAUGCGUAGAGAUCUGGAGGAAUACCGAUGGCGAAGGCAGCCAUCUGGCCUAAUACUGACGCUGAGGUACGAAAGCAUGGGGAGCAAACAGGAUUAGAUACCCUGGUAGUCCAUGCCGUAAACGAUGUCUACUAGCCGUUGGGGCCUUUGA